UGAGAUCGUGUCGACAUGUUGGAAGACAGAUUAUGCCCCCUUGACACCCGUCCAUAGGCGUGUCAAGCUAUGGUGCAAUAGUUAGCUAAAGCGUUAGAAGGAGCUUGCCGGGGACGCACCCCCGUACGCCACCUAAGGCUGCAUUUAUGGCAUUUUUGUUGGGGAACGUUGCUUGGGAAACAAAAGUUUUCCUACGCACAUGAAGACCCAUCUAUGCUAUUAGUACUAAAGCUACAACCUAGCAAUAUAGUAAAC
rnacentral:lncRNA from 1 species